rnacentral:misc_RNA from 1 species
UCAUCUUGAUGAAUUUUAAUAGAAGGUUACGCAUAUACUGAUGAUCAAAUAUCCCAUUCAGAAUUUCUCUUUCGGUGAGCUCCUGACCCUUAGUUCCACAACCAUAUACAUCAUUUUCCAUGUCUCUUAAAUAGAGAAUAUCAUGAACAAAAAUCUCCUUUGCCUAUUAAAGAAGCUUUUUUGGAAUAAACCCCAAAAUAACAUUACAAGGCUAUCUAUUAUAUAUAUGUAUAUAUAGCACCAAAUUAAUAAAGUUUAACCAUUUUUUUAAUUCCACUAAACUUGUAAUUACAAAAUUAAUAAUAAUCCCCUAUCCACCUUCCCCGCAAUCCAUUAGCGCUAUAAUAGAUAUUACGUAUACUAAUUUUCUUACAUAACUGAGCAUCCGCCAUCAUUAUCAUAAUCAUCAUCUUGAAUCAUCCUAUUGAUUGGUUCAGAUGGUGGAGGUGGUGGAGGGUACCUCUCAGGGUGAGAAUACGGAUGAGCAUGCAUGGAAGGGGCAUAGUACGAUGCACUGGUACUAGGAUAUGCUGUGUUGUAGUUUACUCCAUAAGCUGGAGGAGCGGCAUAAUACACUGGAAGAUGAUAUGGGUAUACAUGCUGAAGUGGUGGGAUAUAGUCCAUUGAUGCCAUAGGUGGAGCUGGGUUUUCAAUAACCGCCGGAGAUUUGCCGUCUGCUGGUGUGUCACCGGCAUGAUCACCACCACUGUUACCAUUAUUAGCAUUAUUACCAUUUUGCCCUCCCUUCUUCUUUUUCUUCUUUUUCCCUCCACUUCCACCUCCGCCAGUAGCUGCAGCAGCGCUUUCUCCAACAGCCCCCUCGCCCUUGGCAUCCAGUGGUUGGUCAUCACCACCACCACUUUUAGCAACAGUGUCAGGCUUUUCUUUUAUGUUGUUUUGAUCAUCAUCGUCGCCGUCAUCACCAGCACCAACUUCCUGGCUAUCUUGAUCAGGGUCUUGUUUUCCAUCGCUCUUGGAUUUUCCUGACUUCUUAUUCUUCUUCUCUGGCUUUUCAGGCCAAAGUUCUGCGUGUUUCCCCGACCUUGCCAAUUUCUUGAUAAGAGUCUCGGCGUCGACGUUGCCACUCACUGUAACCUUAUGCUGCUGAGAGUCAAUCUCUGUCAUAUAAACACCUGUACGCUCAAGGGAUAAUAAAGAAUGUACACAUAUUAAAUGGAGAGAUUCUAAUGAUAACAAAAUAUAUGCAAGAGCAGAGUUUACAUAAAAAUAGUACCAUCGACUCCCUGGAGAACUUUCCUGACUUUCUUCCUGCAGCCUUCACAGUGGAUUGAGACUUUCAGGACCCAUGUCUAUGAAGCAAUAGAAAAAUGGACUUAGAAAGAGGUCAAUAGCACUGGAGAAAUGAUGAGUGAGGAAAAGCAAUGGAUUAAGAGAAG